GGUAAGAUGGCCGAGUGUUGAGGCGGUGGGUUGUAGUUCCAUGUACAGAGGUUUAAUUCCUUUUCUUAUCA
rnacentral:tRNA from 1 species